rnacentral:rRNA from 1 species
CCUACGGGAGGCAGCAGUGGGGGAUAUUGCACAAUGGGGGAAACCCUGAUGCAGCGACGCCGCGUGUGGGAAGACGGUCCUCUGGAUUGUAAACCACUGUCCCCAGGGACGAAGAUGACGGUACCUGGGGAGGAAGCCCCGGCAAACUACGUGCCAGCAGCCGCGGUAAUAGGUAGGGAGCGAGCGUUGUCCGGAAUUACUGGGGGUAAAGGGAGCGUAGGCGGGACUGCAAGUUGGGUGUCAAAUCUACCGGCUCAACCGGUAGCCGCACUCAAAACUGCAGUUCUUGAGUGAAGUAGAGGCAGGCGGAAUUCCUAGUGUAGCGGUGAAAUGCGUAGAUAUUAGGAGGAACACCAGUGGCGAAGGCGGCCUGCUGGGCUUUUACUGACGCUGAGGCUCGAAAGUGUGGGGAGCAAACAGGAUUAGAUACCCCAGUAGUC